rnacentral:rRNA from 1 species
CCCGUAGGGGGCGAGCGUUGUCCGGAUUUAUUGGGCGUAAAGAGCUCGUAGGCGGCUCAGUAAGUCAGGUGUGAAAACUCCAGGCUCAACCUGGAGACGCCACCUGAUACUGCUGUGGCUAGAGUCCGGUAGGGGAGCAUGGAAUUCCUGGUGUAGCGGUGAGAUGCGCAGAUAUCAGGAGGAACACCAGUGGCGAAGGCGGUGCUCUGGGCCGGAACUGACGCUGAGGAGCGAAAGCGUGGGGAGCAAACAGG